AUUGAACGCUGGCGGCAGGCUUAACACAUGCAAGUCGAGCGGGGGAGGUUGCUUCGGUAACUGACCUAGCGGCGGACGGGUGAGUAAUGCUUAGGAAUCUGCCUAUUAGUGGGGGACAACAUUCCGAAAGGAAUGCUAAUACCGCAUACGCCUACGGGGAAAGCAGGGGAUCUUCGGACCUUGCGCUAAUAGAUGAGCCUAAGUCGGAUUAGCUAGUUGGUGGGGUAAAGGCCUACCAAGGCGACGAUCUGUAGCGGGUCGUGAGAGGAUGAUCCGCCACACUGGGACUGAGACACGGCCCAGACUCCUACGGGAGGCAGCAGUGGGGAAUAUUGGACAAUGGGGGGGAACCCGUGAUCCAGCCAUGCCGCGUGUGUGAAGAAGGCCUUUGGUUGUAAAGCACUUUAAGCGAGGAGGAGGGCUACCGAGACUAAU
rnacentral:rRNA from 1 species